rnacentral:rRNA from 1 species
UACGUAGGGGGCAAGCGUUGUCCGGAAUCAUUGGGCGUAAAGAGCGUGUAGGCGGCUCGAUAAGUCCUCUGUGAAAGUCCAGGGCUCAACCCUGGAAGGCCGGUGGAAACUGUCGGGCUAGAGUCCGGAAGAGGCGAGUGGAAUUCCCGGUGUAGCGGUGAAAUGCGCAGAUAUCGGGAGGACCACCAAUGGCGAAGGCAGCUCGCUGGGACGGUACUGACGCUGAGACGCGAAAGCGUGGGGAGCAAACAGG